AGCGAACGCUGGCGGCAGGCCUAACACAUGCAAGUCGAACGAACUCUUCGGAGUUAGUGGCGGACGGGUGAGUAACACGUGGGAACGUGCCUUUAGGUUCGGAAUAACUCAGGGAAACUUGUGCUAAUACCGAAUGUGCCCUUCUGGGGAAAGAUUUAUCGCCUUUAGAGCGGCCCGCGUCUGAUUAGCUAUUUGGUGAGGUAAAGGCUCACCAAGGCGACGAUCAGUAGCUGUUCUGAGAGGAUGAUCAGCCACAUUGGGACUGAGACACGGCCCAAACUCCUCCGGGAGGCAGCAGUGGGGAAUCUUGCGAAAUGGGGGAAAGCCUGACGCAGCCAUGACGCGUGAAUGAUGAAGGUCUUAGGAUUGUAAAAUUCUUUCAACGGGGACGAUAAUGACGGUACCCGGAGAAGAAGCCCCGGCUAACUUCGUG
rnacentral:rRNA from 1 species